rnacentral:rRNA from 1 species
CGACCGGCGCACGGGUGAGUAACGCGUAUGCAACCUACCUAUCAGAGGGGAAUAACCCGGCGAAAGUCGGACUAAUACCGCAUAAAACAGGGGCACCGCAUGGUGAUAUUGUUAAAGAGAUUCGCUGAUAGAUGGGCAUGCGUUCCAUUAGGUAGUGGUGAGGUAACGGCUCACCAAGCCGACGAUGGAUAGGGGAACUGAGAGGUUGGUCCCCCACACUGGUACUGAGACACGGACCAGACUCCUACGGGAGGCAGCAGUGAGGAAUAUUGGUCAAUGGGCGGGAGCCUGAACCAGCCAAGUCGCGUGAAGGGAAAAGAAGGAUCUAUGGUUCGUAAACUUCUUUUGCAGGGGAAUAAAGUGCAGGACGUGUCCUGUUUUGUAUGUACCCUGAGAAUAAGGAUCGGCUAACUCCGUGCCAGCAGCAGC